AACGAACGCUGGCGGCAUGCCUAACACAUGCAAGUCGAACGAGACCUUCGGGUCUAGUGGCGCACGGGUGCGUAACGCGUGGGAACCUGCCCUUAGGUUCGGAAUAACUCCCCGAAAGGGGUGCUAAUACCGGAUAAUGUCUUCGGACCAAAGAUUUAUCGCCUUUGGAUGGGCCCGCGUUGGAUUAGCUAGUUGGUAGGGUAAAAGCCUACCAAGGCGACGAUCCAUAGCUGGUCUGAGAGGAUGAUCAGCCACACUGGGACUGAGACACGGCCCAGACUCCUACGGGGGGCAGCAGUGGGUAAUAUUGGACACUGGGCGAAAGCCGGAUCCAGCAAUGCCGCGUGAGUGAUGAAGGCCUUAGGGUUGUAAAGCUCUUUUACCCGGGAUGAUAAUGACAGUACCGGAAGAAUAAGCUCCGGCUAACUCCGUG
rnacentral:rRNA from 1 species